UGGUCUCGCAGAUUGUUGCUCGAAGGAGACCGCGUCGACGUCUGACUGGACUCGCGGCGUCUUACCUUCCGGCGAGGCGCCUGUGCCCGGCGCUCCGAACCUGGCCUCCGCUCCCCUGUUGCAGGGGCUGGAAGAAGGCGUGUCGGCGCGUCUCGAGAACGAUUUGGGAAGCCUAAGCGUUUGCCUCAUCACCCCUCUCAGCGCCAUGUCUUGGAUGUUCAAGAGAGAUCCUGUUUGGAAGUACUUGCAGACUGUCCAAUAUGGAGUCCAUGGAAAUUUUCCACGCCUCUCAUAUCCAACUUUCUUUCCCCGUUUUGAAUUCCAAGAUGUUAUUCCUCCAGAUGACUUCCUAACUAGUGAUGAAGAGCUAGAUUCAGUUUUAUUUGGAACUUUGAGAGGUCACGUGGUUGGACUACGCUAUUACACAGGAGUCGUUAAUAAUAAUGAAAUGGUUGCGUUGCAACGAGAGCCCAGUAACCCCUAUGAUAAGAAUGCGAUUAAAGUUAACAAUGUGAAUGGAAAUCAGGUUGGCCAUUUAAAGAAAGAUCUCGCAGCUGCUUUGGCCUAUAUCAUGGACAACAAAUUGGCACAAAUUGAAGGGGUAGUUCCUUUUGGCGCAAACAAUGCUUUUACCAUGCCUCUGCAUAUGACUUUUUGGGGGAAAGAAGAAAAUAGGAAAGCAGUUUUAGAUCAGUUGAAGAAACAUGGAUUUAAAUUGGGUCCUGCACCAAAAACUUUAGGAUUCAGUUUGGAAAGUAGUUGGUGCUCUGGAAGAGCUGGACCAAGCUACAGCGUGCCAGUUCAUGCUGCAGUACAGAUGACAGCUGAACAGCUUAAGACAGAAUUUGACAAGUUGUUUGAAGAUUUAAAAGAAGAUGACAAAACUCAUGAAAUGGAACCAGCUGAGGCUAUUGAAACACCAUUGCUUCCACAUCAAAAACAAGCUCUAGCUUGGAUGGUUUCACGGGAAAACAGUAAAGAACUUCCACCAUUUUGGGAACAGCGAAAUGACUUAUACUAUAACACAAUAACAAAUUUUUCUGAAAAGGAUCGACCAGAAAAUGUCCAUGGAGGCAUUCUUGCUGAUGAUAUGGGUUUGGGCAAAACUCUUACAGCUAUUGCAGUAAUUCUUACAAACUUUCAUGAUGACAAGCCUCUUCCUGUUGAAAGAAUUAAAAAGAAUCAACCAAAGAAGGAAUGUAGUGUUAAGGAUGAAUCUAUGAAACUUGAAAGAAACAACAGUGAGAAGGCAGAUGGACUAAUAAAAGAAGGCUCUAGAUGUAGUGGAGAUCCCAGUAUUUCAGAUAUCAAGGAAAAGAAUAAAUGUCCCAAGUCAGAAUUAUCUAGCUUCCGCCCCAAAAGAAGAAAAACUGCUGUCCAGUAUAUUGAAAGUAGUGAUUCAGAGGAAAUGGAAACAAGUGAAUUGCCACAGAAAAUGAAAGGCAAACUGAAAAAUACACAGACAGAUGCCAAAAGCAGAGUAAAAGCAGGAUCUUCUAAAGUUAAGGAAGAUGGAGAUUUUGCCUACGCCCUUAUUUCAUCCCCUGCAACAAAAAAGAAAAUGUUGAAAAAGGGAGAUUCUUCAGUAGAAUGUUCAAAGAAAAUUGAUGUGGAAGGGAGACCAAGAACAACACUGAUCAUCUGUCCACUUUCUGUAUUAAGCAAUUGGAUUGACCAAUUUGGACAACAUAUCAAAUCAGAUGUACACUUGAAUUUUUAUGUUUAUUAUGGUCCUGACCGUAUUAGAGACCCAACAUUGCUUUCAAGACAGGAUAUUGUGUUGACUACAUACAAUAUUUUAACUCAUGACUAUGGAACUAAAGGUGAUAGUCCAUUACAUAGCAUAAGGUGGCUAAGAGUGAUUCUGGAUGAAGGACAUGCCAUACGAAAUCCAAAUGCUCAGCAGACAAAAGCUGUACUUGAUUUAGAAGCAGAAAGAAGAUGGGUAUUGACAGGUACUCCAAUUCAGAAUUCUUUAAAGGACUUGUGGUCUCUUCUUUCCUUUUUAAAACUUAAACCAUUUAUUGAUAGAGAGUGGUGGCAUAGAACAAUACAACGUCCUGUCACAAUGGGAGACGAAGGAGGACUUAGGCGUUUACAAUCCCUAAUUAAAAAUAUUACACUUAGAAGAACAAAGACAAGCAAAAUUAAAGGAAAACCUGUUUUGGAGUUACCAGAACGUAAAGUAUUUAUUCAGCACAUUACACUUUCAGAUGAAGAGAGAAAGAUUUAUCAGUCUGUGAAAAAUGAAGGCAGAGCUACUAUUGGAAGGUAUUUUAAUGAAGGAACCGUCCUUGCACACUAUGCUGAUGUCCUGGGUCUUUUGCUUAGAUUACGGCAGAUAUGUUGUCAUACUCACCUUCUUACAAAUGCAGUGUCUUCCAGUGGUACCUCAGCCUUUUCUUUAGGAAAUGAUACACCUGAAGAACUACAAAAGAAAUUAAUAAGGAAGAUGAAGUUGAUUCUGAGCUCAGGUUCCGAUGAAGAAUGUGCAAUUUGCUUGGAUUCUUUAACAGUUCCUGUCAUAACACAUUGUGCACAUGUCUUUUGUAAACCCUGUAUUUGCCAGGUCAUUCAGAAUGAGCAGCCACAUGCUAAAUGCCCUUUAUGCAGAAAUGAUAUACAUGGAGACAAUCUAUUAGAAUGUCCUCCAGAAGAAUUGGCAUGCAACACUGAGAAAAAGUCUAAUAUGGAAUGGACAUCCAGUUCAAAGAUUAAUGCUCUAAUGCAUGCAUUAAUUGACCUAAGGAAGAAGAACCCAAACAUAAAAAGUUUAGUUGUUUCUCAGUUUACGACAUUCCUGUCUUUAAUAGAGACACCACUUAGAGCCUCUGGAUUUGUGUUUACUCGUUUGGAUGGUUCUAUGGCCCAAAAGAAAAGAGUUGAAUCAAUUCAGUGUUUUCAAAACACUGAAGCAGGAUCUCCAACUGUAAUGCUCCUAUCCUUAAAAGCAGGUGGAGUUGGUUUGAAUCUUUCUGCAGCUUCUCGAGUGUUUUUAAUGGACCCAGCCUGGAAUCCAGCUGCUGAAGAUCAGUGCUUUGACAGAUGCCAUAGACUUGGCCAGAAACAAGAAGUUAUCAUCACAAAAUUCAUUGUGAAGGACUCUGUUGAAGAAAAUAUGCUGAAAAUACAAAACACAAAGAGAGAACUUGCAGCUGGAGCCUUUGGAACUAAAAAAACAAAUGCUAAUGAAAUGAAACAAGCUAAAAUUAAUGAAAUCAGAACUUUAAUUGAUUUAUAAUUUGUGGGAUGUUGGUAAGGCAGAGUACUGACAGAUGGGACCUCAAAAAAGAAGCCUCAAAACUUAAGUAGAUCAGCAGAACUGCAACGAGCACAGGGAGCCCUUACCUUCACAGGGUUAUGUUGACCUUGAAUACAUCACAGUAUCACAGCAAGGUUUUGCCACUUCUGGGUUAGUAAGAUUGUUUUUACGUAAAGGAGAUUGAAUUUCAGCAUCUGAAACUCAGAGAAAUAAGUUAUCAAAUAACAUUACCCAAGUAUAAAAAUGAAUUGCAAUCCAUUUUUGUAUUUGUAAUAAUAAGCAGGAAAAAAAAGCAACCCAUGGCAGACUAUUUUACUUAAGGAGCCAAGUCUUACUUAGCAUGACCCAAGUCUCAGUGACAUUAAAAAGGUAAAAACUACAUAAUUAUAUUUAUAGAUGUUAUUUAUGGUAAUGUUUCCAAUAUCACUCAAGGAGCUGAGUUUGUAUUUUGAAAAUCUUUCACUGAAUAGAAGUUGAGUUCUCUGCUAUGCAACAAACACCUCUUCAUGUAUCUAACAAAAACUUGAUUCCAUGUUGUAUUUAGUGUAAAUACUUAAUGUAUGAAUGGUUCUCAAAUGUGAUUUGGGUCAGAAACAAUUGGAAUAUGUGAUAGUUAUCUAGAGUGGAGAUACUGUGGCCUUCAAACAACAUCUGUUGAAUCAGUCUGUAGUGAUGAUGCCCAAAAAACUAUGUUAUAAUUGUCUCCAUUGUUUUCAGGUUCAGCCAAAUUGGAGACAGUUGCUCAAGCCCCUUAUCUUUACUGCUUUUUCCAUUCUUCACAUCCAAUCCAUUGGCAACUUUAGUGUCUUCACUUGCUGCAUUACUCUUGAUUCUUUCCAGGACUACUUCAGUAAACUAACUCACCUUCCUAUCAAAUUCUUAAGUCCUCAUUCAAGCUUUUUUCCAACAAUUGCAAAAGCAGUGUCCUCAAAAUGUAAGUCACAAAGACAAUUAGACCAUCCUUAACUGCAAUGGAUUGAAACAAUUGAAAUUAAUUCAUAAUGAUUGUUAGAACCAACCUCCCUUGAAACCAUUUUGGUUACCUUUGAAAAAUGCGAGGACACCAAUUCCUUUAUUUUGUUAUAUUAAUAAAUGAGAGAAAGCAUUUUCCUGCCUUUUCUAUAUUAAUAGAAACUUUAAUCUCAGGAUAACCAAGUGAUGGGGUAUUUAGAAGUAUUUCAGUUUUUAUGUAUCUAGGCAGAGUUCAUCAAUGGCUGGGAAAAUCAUGAGAUUUGGAAGUACCACCGAUACUGUAAAGUAUUGCCCCACCCCAGAAAGAAAUCACUCCUUUAUCCGAUUGGUCCUCUAAAUCCGUUUAUAGGAAAUACAGAACAAGAAGACAUCAAAUUGCAAUCACUGCAAAUUGUAAAUGCAGGAUUACAAAACAAAAAUCUGGUUUCUUCAAACAUUGCAAGGAAAUUAAAAAAAAAAGGGAGGGUGAGGAAGCAAGACUUUAUCAGAGAUAGAGGCCUUACUUGUUUCCUAAUAAUGUAAAGUACAAAUAAAACAAAAAAUAAUGGAGGACAUUUGCUAUUAAUACAUUUUUGGUGUGAUAAUUUUCUUAAGUCCUUAUGAUAUACAGGGAAAUAUUUUCAUAAAAAAUUAACUAGGAUUUGCUUCCAAAUAAUCUGUGGGGGGAGAACUGAUGGGAAUGCAGAUGUGACAUGUAAUUGCUGAAGCUGAGUGAUGCGAAUUCUAAAUUUAUAGUAUUGUGCUUAUUUUUGUAUGCACGAUUUCCCAUUAAUAAAAAGUACAAAUUACAUUAAUAAAACCUCAAUCAGUUGCUGUAGAAUUAUAGUAAAAUCCAAACACCACAAAUUGGCCUACAGUCACCCCACUACCCCUCCAUCCUGUCUUGAAAUUCUUUACUUCCACUAAGUUCUUGCCUGUUCUAGGGACUUUGCUUCAUACUGUUCCCUCUGGAAAGAAAAUUCUUCCUUCUCCUACCCUUUUGACUAUCUCAUAACCUCUUUUGGCUUGUUUACCAUCUGAGAGGAAGUAUUUCCAGACUGCCCUAAAUUGGACUUUCCACAUUAAUGUCAGUGUGCUUUAGCAUAAUUCAUAUUUGUUAGCUUUUUUUGGACAGUUUCCUGCUAGAAUAUCAGGAACUCUGUCUUUUUUGUAAAUGCCUGUGUUUCUAAUGACUGUCACAUCACAUAUGUGAUAUGGUAGGUACUUGAUAAGUACUUGUGAAUUACUGUGUUGUCACCAAUGUGUAUGUUAGCUCAAGUUGUGCUUAAUGUGAAACUAACAUGAUUGAAUAAAUGCUUUGAGUAGUUAUUUCUGGAAUAAGCACAAGUAUUUCUUUGAAACCAGGCAGAUCUUUAUGACCAUUGGGAUUGUAAAAGCAAAAUAGGGCUGAAACAAGCUUUGGGUUUAUACUAUCUUAGGCGGUCUAGAAAUUUACUCCUUUAAAGGCUCAUUUGUAUGACUUACAUAUUAUACUGUAAGGAAUUUAAUUUCAGUUUAGCUAGAUAUUUAAUGCAUUGGAUUUUCAUUGGAAAAGUUCAGUUCAUACUAGCCAUUGCAGAGCUUCUUAUACUAAGAAUAUCUUGAGAGGUUUUUGUACCACAGCACCUGACACAUGGAGGCACUUAAAAAUUUUUGGUACGUGUUUCUAUACUUGGAAGAUCAUAGCAUGUCAUUCUCCACCAGUUCAAAUACUAUAGCUUAUUUGAUCUUAUAAUUUAACAUUUCACAAUUUUAGGUAAAUCCUCAGGUUCUUUUUGCGCUCUUGUGGUAGCCAGUUGCUACAGAGACCCUCCCAAUCAUUCCUGAUUCCAAGUUUCCAUACCCCUAUAUUGAAUAGGUUCACCUGUGUAACCAAUAGGAUAUUGUGGAUAUAAAGGAGGGUGACAUUGACUAAUAGGUCAUAAAAACCAUUACAGCUUAAUGCAUUGUUAAACCACUAAAGUUUCGUUUUGUCAUGGUCUUCUAUCCUGUUUUUUUCCCAAUGAUUUCUGAUUAUUCAACCUUAGUUUUAAACAGUUAUUUUGGGGCCUUCCCUGGUGGUGCAGGCGGUUGAGCGCCGCACUGUGAAGCUGUCUGCAGCCUCUGCAGCGCCAGUUCAAUCCCGGCCGGCCGGCGAGGGUCCCACUUGGCCUGGCAGACCUCUCCUGUCGCGCCCACUGCUCCCCUCUGCAGUAUAUUUCGUCAGUCUGCCUGUGCUGUUCCCCGCUCUGUCUCUGGUGAAUCCUCUCACCCUCCCACGCAUCUGGCCUGUACCCUGGUUCUUGCAUAAAUAUUUUUUAAAAAAAAAAAGUUAUUUUGGAUCUUAAUCUUCCCCUUCCCUAGCAUGCCAUCCUUGUAACCUGGAAUCAUUUGUACAUUUAAUAAAUGUUUUACUCUAUCAUUGUAAGUCAUAAGUAAAACACUUGAAGACACUGGGUACAGUACUAACAGUCCAGAAAGAUUGUUGAGUAUGUUGAUUUCAAGGUUAUAAUAUUUUAAAAUCUCAGUACCCAUUUCAUAUGGAGAUGCAGUCAGUGUGGCUGACAGAUUAAAUAA